AUUUAAGCUUCAUGUAUAAAGUGCCUACUUUUGUUAGAA
rnacentral:tRNA from 1 species